GAUGAACGCUGGCGGCGUGCCUAAUACAUGCAAGUCGAGCGAACAGAUGAGGAGCUUGCUCCUCUGACGUUAGCGGCGGACGGGUGAGUAACACGUGGAUAACCUACCUAUAAGACUGGGAUAACUUCGGGAAACCGGAGCUAAUACCGGAUAAUAUAUUGAACCGCAUGGUUCAAUAGUGAAAGACGGUUUUGCUGUCACUUAUAGAUGGAUCCGCGCCGCAUUAGCUAGUUGGUAAGGUAACGGCUUACCAAGGCAACGAUGCGUAGCCGACCUGAGAGGGGGAUCGGCCACACUGGAAAUGAGACACGGGCCAGGCUCCUACGGGAGGCAGCAGGAGGGAAUCUUCCGCAAUGGGCGAAAGCCUGACGGAGCAACGCCGCGGGAGUGAUGAAGGUCUUCGGAUCGUAAAACGCUGUUAUUAGGGAAGAACAAAUGUGUAAGUAACUAUGCACGUCUUGACGGUACCUAAUCAGAAAGCCACGGCGAACUACGU
rnacentral:rRNA from 1 species